UACAGAGGUCCCAAGCGUUGUUCGGAUUCACUGGGCGUAAAGGGUGCGCAGGUGGUUUGGCAAGUUUGACGUGAAAGCCCCGGGCUUAACCCGGGAAUGGCGUUGAAAACUGCUUGAACUGGAGGAUUGGAGGGGAGACUGGAAUUCCUGGUGUAGCAGUGAAAUGCGUAGAUAUCAGGAGGAAUACCGAUGGCGAAGGCAGGUCUCUGGGCUGACACUGACGCUCAUGCACGAAAGCGUGGGGAGCAAACAGG
rnacentral:rRNA from 1 species